GCUACACAUGCAGUCGAGCGGAACGAAGAGGAGCUUGCUCCUUUGGCGUCGAGCGGCGGACGGGUGAGUAAUGCUUGGGAAUGUGCCUUAUGGUGGGGGACAACAGUUGGAAACGACUGCUAAUACCGCAUAAUGUCUUCGGACCAAAGUGGGGGACCUUCGGGCCUCACGCCAUAAGAUCAGCCCAAGUGGGAUUAGCUAGUUGGUAAGGUAAUGGCUUACCAAGGCGACGAUCCCUAGCUGGUUUGAGAGGAUGAUCAGCCACACUGGGACUGAGACACGGCCCAGACUCCUACGGGAGGCAGCAGUGGGGAAUAUUGCACAAUGGGCGCAAGCCUGAUGCAGCCAUGCCGCGUGUGUGAAGAAGGCCUUCGGGUUGUAAAGCACUUUCAGUAAGGAGGAAAGGUUAAGUGUUAAUAGCACUUAGCUGUGACGUUACUUACAGAAGAAGCACCGGCUAACUCCGUGCCAGCAGCCGCGGUAAUACGGAGGGUGCGAGCGUUAAUCGGAAUUACUGG
rnacentral:rRNA from 1 species